AAGGGAGGCAUUCAUGGUGAGUUCUGGCACCUCUUCUUUUUCAAGAGUCAGUGCAUAUCCUUUGCUAUUUUUCUAGAAAAGAGGUGCCGGAACUAACCAUGAAUGCCUCUCU